rnacentral:rRNA from 1 species
GGCUUAUAGAUAAUAAUUUUAGGUCAAUCUGCCCAAUGAUUUUAAAUUGAAUGGCUGCAGUAUAAUUGACUGUACAAAGGUAGCAUAAUCAGUUGUCUUUUAAUUGAGGACUAGUAUGAAAGAAUUAAUGAGAUAUAUUCUGUCUCAUAUAUAUUUAAUGAAUUUAAAAUUUUAGUAAAAAUGCUAAAAUAAAUUUAUGGGACGAUAAGACCCUAUAGAAUUUUAUAUUAAUAUUUUAUUAAUUAUUUAAUUGAAGUAUUAAUAUUUAAUUGGGAGGAUUAAUAAAUUAAAAGAACUUUAUUUUAAAAUUAAACUUUGAUUUUAGAAUAUAUUUUGAUCUUUUAUUAAAAAUUAAAAGAAUAAAUUACCUUAGGGAUAACAGCGUAAUAUCUUUUUAAAGAUCGUAUUGAUAAAGGUGUUUGCGACCUCGAUGUUGAAUUAAGAUAAAUUUUAAAUGGAGAAAUUUAAAAAUUAAGUCUGUUCGACUUUUAAAAUCUUACAUGAUUUGAGUUCAAAUCGACGUGAGU